GGAUCAUCUGACAUUGCUUAAUGUAUACCGUGCUGCUGAUGAGUUCUUUCAAAAGAACAAGAUGGUACACAGUGAAGAAAAAGCUGAAAAGAAUCUUAGAAAAUGGUGCAAGGAUAAUUAUAUUAACAGUCGCUCUCUAAAACAUGCUCGUGAUAUCCACAGUCAAAUUGUGAGGAAUGUUGAACAAAUGGGUCUUCGCGUCACUUCUUGUGAAGAUGAUACACUUCUCCUCCGCAGAUGCCUUGCUGCCUCGUUUUUUCUUAAAGCAGCUAUGAAGCAGCCUGAUGGUGCAUACAGGGUGACGUUAAGUGGUUUGAUUGUGCAAAUACACCCGUCUUCUGUCCUGUUCCGAGCCAAGCCAGAGUGUAUAGUUUUCAAUGAACUGGUUCAUACUAACCAUAGUUAUGUCCGUAAUGUCUCUAGAAUCGAUUACUUGUGGCUCGUUGAGUUGGCACCCCACUUGUAUGCUGUGCAAGACUAAAUGUGUUCAUUAUUUAUACCGGUAAGAGAUCCCUUCCUUCAACAACACCAUAUCCAAUGUAAUUCCACAAGUGGAAUUUGGGGAGGAUCAGAUGUACG
rnacentral:misc_RNA from 1 species